ensembl:lncRNA
GCAUUAUAGGAAUCCUCUCCCCACCCCACCCCCUAAGAAGUCUUUUAAAUCAUUAGACUGGAGGAGGUGUUUUUAUCUGAUAGGAAGAGCCACACCCAAAGAACUGUCCCAGCCCAAAUGUCAAGAGCCUUUCCAGUGUCUAAUGGAGACCACGGUGAGGGAAGCUGCUGGCCUCAGUCAGUCACUAGCAUUCUGUCCCAGCAGAUCUGCCUCAGUGAAGCUACUUCAGAACAGUGUGAAGAGGGAGUGGCACAUGUGUGGUCACAGCAUGAAGACCGGGAAAGGGAGGGGACCAUGCAGAUGGUGCAUGCUGAACUGGACUUGCCUAUUGUCAGUCUCCCUCACCACGACUGGGACACUGGAAGAAGUCCGUCGUCUGAAGGCGUUCCGUCAAUGUCAUGGUUAGCUUCAGUUGUCAACUUGACACACCUGGGAAGAGGGACCCUCAAAUGACGAAUUGCCUCCACCGGAUGGACCUAUGGACGUGUCGCCCUUGAUAACGCUGUUCCAGACAUGCCAGUUUGAUGUCAUCCGACCAGACGAAACUCUCCUGAGCCAGGGGAUGGACAGCUGUUUUCCACGUUCUUGGCAGUCCUGAACCUACCACCCCACUUUUGGAGACAGGGUCUCAUGUAGUCCAGGCCGAUCUCAAACAUGGUGGUAGCUGAGGCUGGCCUCUACUCCUGAUCCUCCUGCCUCUCCCCAUCCCCUGCCUCCUCCCCCGCAUCCUCCUGCCUCCAAGUGCUGGGAUUACAGACAUGCAUCACCACGAGUUUUAUUUUAUUUUAGAAGGGUCUUACUAUGUAGUCCAGGCCGGUCUCAAACCCAAACCAAUCCUCAACCUCACUGAAGGCUGGGGUUAUAAAUGUGACCAGGCACCUAUUAUUUCCAAUACUGCAGUAACUCUCAUGUAUAGUAUAGUUGAGAAAUGAACUACUCCAUAAGUGAAUUUUCAGAGUAAUGUCUGUGAAGCGCUAAAACCGUAAACAACCAGAAUCAGCUUUAUUGAAGUAUAAUUGACAUACUAUAAACUGCAUAUAUUUAAAGUAUACAAGUUAAGAUGUUUGACACAUGUACAUACCCAUGAUAAUAUCACCACAAUCAAGAUAAGGAACACGUCCAUCAUCACUGAGGCUUCCUUCCGCCCCUCCCUACCCACUUCCCCAAGCAAUCAUAGAUGUGCUUUCUGAAUACAGUGUCUAAUGCUAAGAUGUCUCAGCCACUUCCCACUUCAGUCAAUAGAGUAUGGUCCUCGAUUCACCUCGUCAUUAACAUUUUGAAAGUGAUGUCCUUAAGGUGUCAUGACGAUGUGUAACAUCGUUUGCUCUGAACACUAAAUAACCCCAUUGUCACACUGCCAUAAGAGGUGACUUGGUACUUGAGAGCCAUCUGAGUAUAUGAUUCCCAGAUACAACUCCGAAUGCUCCAGACUGGCACCUCCCCCUC